AGUGGAGGUGGCGGGGGCGGAGGAGGCGGUGGAGGUCAACAAGACACUUUAAUUAUUGACCAAUCAGGUAGAGGUAACAGAUGGGGAGGCAGAAAUCAGUGGGGCAACGGAAGACAAUUUGGAGGCGGUCAAAAAUUUGGAGGCGGUAGAAUAUUUGGAGGCGGACGACGAAAUUUUGGAGGUCGACAAGGCGGUGGUCGUAAUAGAUGGUAGACACAAAGUUUUGAUCCUACCAUCAGUGUUGUUAUGAUGGAAACAUUCCUACCAACACGGCUUUGGUGACAAUCAUCCACUGUACAUAGACUACAUUGGGGAUAGAGACUGCGGAAGAGUUUUUAAGAAUUGCUAUGAUAUAUUUUUUAUAUGUAUUAAGUUUUUUUCAAUUAAAGACUUGAAAUAAAUUGA